rnacentral:rRNA from 1 species
GUAGGUGGCAAGCGUUGUCCGGAAUUAUUGGGCGUAAAGCGCGCGCAGGCGGUUCUUUAAGUCUGAUGUGAAAGCCCACGGCUCAACCGUGGAGGGUCAUUGGAAACUGGAGAACUUGAGUACAGAAGAGGAAAGCGGAAUUCCACGUGUAGCGGUGAAAUGCGUAGAGAUGUGGAGGAACACCAGUGGCGAAGGCGGCUUUCUGGUCUGUAACUGACGCUGAGGCGCGAAAGCGUGGGGAGCAAACAGGAUUAGAUACCCUGGUAGUCCACGCCGUAAACGAUGAGUGCUAAGUGUUAGGGGGGCUUCCGCCCCCUUAGUGCUGCAGCUAACGCAUUAAGCACUCCGCCCUGGGAGUACGGCCGCAAGGCUG